rnacentral:rRNA from 1 species
GCAUCGGAACGUGCCCAUUUGUGGGGGAUAACUACGCGAAAGCGUGGCUAAUACCGCAUACGCCCUGAGGGGGAAAGCGGGGGAUUCUUCGGAACCUCGCGCAAUUGGAGCGGCCGAUGUCAGAUUAGCUUGUUGGUGAGGUAAAAGGCUCACCAAGGCGACGAUCUGUAGCGGGUCUGAGAGGAUGAUCCGCCACACUGGGACUGAGACACGGCCCAGACUCCUACGGGAGGCAGCAGUGGGGAAUUUUGGACAAUGGGGGCAACCCUGAUCCAGCCAUGCCGCGUGAGUGAAGAAGGCCUUCGGGUUGUAAAGCUCUUUCAGCCGGGAAGAAAACGCACUCUCUAACAUAGGGUGUGGAUGACGGUACCGGAAGAAGAAGCACCGGCUAACUACGUGCCAGCAGCCGCGGUAAUACGUAGGGUGCGAGCGUUAAUCGGAAUUACUGGGCGUAAAGGGUGCGCAGGCGGUUUUGUAAGACAGAUGUGAAAUCCCCGGGCUUAACCUGGGAACUGCGUUUGUGACUGCAAGGCUA